rnacentral:lncRNA from 1 species
CGAGUGUAUCCUUGAGGAUACACAAUGCGCAGGGCGGAUGUAUCCUUGAGGAUACAUGAUGCGCAGGGCGAGUGUAUCUUUCAGGAUACAUAAAUAUUGUCCCAAUGAAAACCGCAACUUUACGGUAUUUGCCGUUCUUAACAGUUGAAAUCAAUGCUUCAAUCAAAAUCUACGAUACCUAAGGGUCAUAUUUUAGUUCUUCAGCAGCAUUAAUAACAUCGUGAAAG